rnacentral:rRNA from 1 species
UAGAGUUUGAUCCUGGCUCAGAAUCAACGCUGGCGGCGUGCCUAACACAUGCAAGUCGAACGCGAAAGUCCCGCAAGGGAUAAGUAGAGUGGCAAACGGGUGAGUAACACGUGGGUGACCUGCCUUCGAGCGGGGGAUAACGUCCCGAAAGGGACGCUAAUACCGCAUAACAUCCUGCUUUUUAAGAGGUGGAGAUCAAAGCUGGGGAUCGCAAGACCUAGCACUCGAAGAGGGGCCCGCGUCCGAUUAGCUAGUUGGUGGGGUAACGGCUCACCAAGGCAACGAUCGGUAGCCGGCCUGAGAGGGCGGACGGCCACACUGGGACUGAGACACGGCCCAGACUCCUACGGGAGGCAGCAGUGGGGAAUUGUUCGCAAUGGGCGCAAGCCUGACGACGCAACGCCGCGUGGAGGAUGAAGAUCUUCGGGUCGUAAACUCCUUUCGAUCGAGACGAAUUCCUUUGCGGUGAACAAUCGCGAAGGUUGACGGUACCGAGAGAAGAAGCCCCGGCUAACUCCGUGCCAGCAGCCGCGGUAAUACGGGGGGGGCAAGCGUUGUUCGGAAUUACUGGGCGUAAAGGGCUCGUAGGCGGCCAACUAAGUCAGACGUGAAAUCCCUCGGCUUAACCGGGGAACUGCGUCUGAUACUGGAUGGCUUGAGUUUGGGAGAGGGAUGCGGAAUUCCAGGUGUAGCGGUGAAAUGCGUAGAUAUCUGGAGGAACACCGGUGGCGAAGGCGGCAUCCUGGACCAACACUGACGCUGAGCAGCGAAAGCCAGGGAGCGAACAGGAUGAGAUACCCCCGCUAGUCCUGUCCUCAACGAUGAGUGCUUGUGUCGCUGG